rnacentral:rRNA from 1 species
GACAGAGGGUGCAAACGUUGCUCGGAAUCACUGGGCGUAAAGGGCGUGUAGGCGGGAAGGCUAGUCAGAUGUGAAAUCCCUGGGCUCAACCCAGGAACUGCAUUUGAAACUCCCUUUCUUGAGUGCUGGAGAGGAAGGCGGAAUUCCUGGUGUAGAGGUGAAAUUCGUAGAUAUCAGGAGGAACACCGGUGGCGAAGGCGGCCUUCUGGACAGUAACUGACGCUGAGACGCGAAAGCGUGGGGAGCGAACAGG